rnacentral:rRNA from 1 species
UGAGGAAUAUUGGUCAAUGGACGCAAGUCUGAACCAGCCAUGCCGCGUGCAGGACGACGGCCCUAUGGGUUGUAAACUGCUUUUGUUUAGGGACAAUACCGGUUACGUGUAACCGUUUGAGGGUACUAAACGAAUAAGCACCGGCUAACUCCGUGCCAGCAGCCGCGGUAAUACGGAGGGUGCAAGCGUUAUCCGGAUUUAUUGGGUUUAAAGGGUGCGUAGGUGGAAUGAUAAGUCAGUGGUGAAAUCCUGCAGCUUAACUGUAGAACUGCCAUUGAUACUGUUGUUCUUGAGUGCAGAUGAGGUAGGCGGAAUGAGUAGUGUAGCGGUGAAAUGCUUAGAUAUUACUCAGAACACCGAUUGCGAAGGCAGCUUACUAAACUGUAACUGACACUGAUGCACGAAAGCGUGGGGAGCGAACG